rnacentral:rRNA from 1 species
AACGCUGGCGGCGUGCCUAAUACAUGCAAGUCGAGCGGACAGA